ACAUCUGCUCUGACUGUGGGAAGAGUUUCUCUCAACAGAACCAUUUAAAAACACACCAACGUAUACACACAGGAGAGAAGCCUUACUACUGCUCUGUCUGUGAGAAGAGUUUCUCUCAAGAGAGCAACUUAAAAACACACCAACGUAUACACACAGGAGAGAAGCCUUACUACUGCUCUGACUGUGGGAAGAGUUACUCUCAAGAGAGCAACUUAAAAACACACCAACGUAAACAUAAAGGAGAGAAGCCUCAUCAGUUCUCUCAGACCGGAUAAGAUUAAAAUCACUCCAUCACUCAAUUUUCAUCUCAUUGCUUGACUUGGACUGAAAUAGGUGCCGGUACUGUUUUAUAUUUAGCUUCCACCACAUACAUCAUUCAUAAUUAACUUAUCUGUAAUAAAAUAUAAAUUGGUAUGUGUUAUUCACUGACAUGUGGACUUAAACUUAAUUGUGUUCUGUGACAUUUUAAUCACUGUGUUUUAGAGAUGAUCUCUUUAUCUAUGUAUGUUUCUGUUGUGAGGUCAAGAUUGAAUUAGUCUGUCAUAGGUUGUUAUUCUAUUCGUAUUAUAUGGUCAUUCAUCAGUUCUGCCCUACAAAGGAACUCACUGAUGUACUUUCUGCAGAUUCAGUUUGUUAUAUUUUCCAUGUUGUUAGAGAGUCAGGGGUUGUACAUUGUUAUUAAAAUAACAAGAAUGAUCAAAUUGCA